rnacentral:rRNA from 1 species
CCCGGCACAAGCGGUGGAGCAUGUGGUUUAAUUCGAUGCAACGCGGAGAACCUUACCUACUCUUGACAUCCAGAGAAUUUUGCUUAGAGAUAGCUUUAGUGCCUUCGGGAACUCUGAGACAGGUGCUGCAUGGCUGUCGUCAGCUCGUGUUGUGAAAUGUUGGGUUAAGUCCCGCAACGAGCGCAACCCUUAUCCUUUGUUGCCAGCGAGUAAUGUCGGGAACUCAAAGGAGACUGCCGGUGAUAAACCGGAGGAAGGUGGGAUGACGUCAAGUCCUCAUGGCCUUUAUGCCCAGGGCUACACACGUGCUACAAUGGGUGGUACAAAGAGAUGCAAUCUCGCAAGAGCAAGCAAACCUCAAAAAGCCAUCCUCAGUUCGGAUUGGAGUCUGCAACUCGACUCCAUGAAGUCGGAAUCGCUAGUAAUCGCGGAUCAGCACGCCGCGGUGAAUACGUUCCCGGGCCUU